ensembl:misc_RNA Metazoa_SRP Metazoan signal recognition particle RNA
GCCGGGCGUGGUGGCUCACGCCUGUAAUCCCAGCACUUUGGGAGGCCGAGGUGGGAGGAUCACCUGAGGUCAGGAGUUCCAGACCAGCCUGGCCAACAUGGUGAAACCCUGUCUCUA